rnacentral:rRNA from 1 species
GCCUUAGGAUGGGUCUGCGGCCGAUUAGGUUGUUGUCGGGGUAACGGCCCAACAAGCCAGUAAUCGGUACGGGUUGUGGGAGCAAGAGCCCGGAGUUGGAUUCUGAGACACGAAUCCAGGCCCUACGGGGCGCAGCAGGCGCGAAAACUUUACAAUGCGGGCAACCGUGAUAAGGGAACCUCGAGUGCCUGUAUAUGCAGGCUGUCUGGGUGUCUAAAACACACCCAAAGAAAGGGCCGGGCAAGACCGGUGCCAGCCGCCGCGGUAAUACCGGCGGCUCGAGUGGUGGCCACUUUUAUUGGGCUUAAAGCGUUCGUAGCUGGGUUAUUAAGUCCCUUGGGAAAUCCGACGGCUUAACCGUCGGGCGUCUAAGGGAUACUGGUAAUCUUGGAACCGGGAGAGGUGAGGGGUACUUCGGGGGUAGGAGUGAAAUCCUGUAAUCCUCGAGGGACCACCUGUGGCGAAGGCGCCUCACCAGAACGGCUUCGACAGUGAGGGACGAAAGCUGGGGGAGCAAACCGGAUUAGAUACCCGGGUAGUCCCAGCCGUAAACGAUGUGCGUUAGGUGUAUCGGUGACCACGAGUCACCGAGGUGCCGAAGGGAAACCGUGAAACGUACCGCCUGGGAAGUACGGUCGCAAGGCUGAAACUUAAAGGAAUUGGCGGGGGAGCACCACA